rnacentral:rRNA from 1 species
GUUUCGGUGGCCAUGGCGAAAGGGAAACACCCGGUUCCAUUCCGAACCCGGAAGUUAAGCCUUUCAGCGCCGAUGGUACUGCAGGGGGGACCCUGUGGGAGAGUAGGACGCCGCCGGACU